UACGUAGGGGGCGAGCGUUGUCCGGAUUCAUUGGGCGUAAAGCGCGCGUAGGCGGCUUCGCAAGUCGGCCGUGAAAUCUCCGGGCUCAACUCGGAGGGGUCGGGCGAGACUGCGAGGCUCGAGGUGGGCAGAGGGCAGUGGAAUUCCGGGUGUAGUGGUGGAAUGCGUAGAGAUCCGGAGGAACACCAGUGGCGAAGGCGGCUGCCUGGGCCUGGCCUGACGCUGAGGCGCGAAAGCGUGGGGAGCAAUCCGGG
rnacentral:rRNA from 1 species